UUGUUCUCUGCAUAACUGUCUCUUUCACCUAUAUUAAUUCCUCAGCAUUCAAGAUGUUUGUAGGGUCCUCACCUCAGCUACCUCUCACAAGGUGCCCCUGAAAAAGAAAUUCAAGACGUUUGGGUCCUCAGCUCAACUGACCAAGACCUUUGCUCAUUGAAGGCAUGAAGUAAUUUGUGAUGCCCCCACGAUUGCAGUUUUUAAACGCAGAUGGCUUGCUCUUUUUAACAUGUGCGAGAGCUGGAUGGUCUUUCAACAACACUGCUCCGGGUCUUCAGCAAGAAAGGUGCUUCUCAUGCAAGGAAGAUACAGAGGAUCCUGGUGCCCAUGACUCAGACUGACAACAUUGAUGUGAAGAGGGAGUGCAUGCUGAGGAGCUGACGGUCUACCUGAAUGAAGAGCCAGACAAAGUGGAUGUUGAUCUGGACGGUCCAGCUGAAACGUAUUGUCUUCGUGUGCGUGUGAUCGGCAGAGAGUCCUCAACGACAUUGGUAACGUACCUGUGGCCAUUGCAGUGUUUGUUUUGGUUUAUGCUCUUAAUCUCUGUUACCUUCCAGAAUGGAAGUACACUUUCAAAUUUCUGUUUCAUUCUAACCGUCUGUUUCAUCAGUUUUUGCACUGCUUUUAAAUGUACACUG